AUUGAACGCUGGCGGCAGGCCUAACACAUGCAAGUCGAGCGAGCGGCGGACGGGUGAGUAAUGUAUGGGGAUCUGCCCGAUAGAGGGGGAUAACUACUGGAACCGGUGGCUAAUACCGCUUACUAUCGGAUCAACCCACAUGGGAUUAGCUAGUAGGGGGGGUAAAGGCUCACCUAGGCGACGAUCUCUAGCUGGUCUGAGAGGAUGAUCGGCCACACUGGGACUGAGACACGGCCCAGACUCCUACGGGAGGCAGCAGUAGGGAAUAUUGCGCAAUGGACGCAAGCCUGAUGCAGCCAUGCCGCGUGUAUGAAGAAGGCCUUAGGAUUGUAAAGCACUUUCAGCGGGGAGGCGUUACCCGCAGAAGAAGCAACGGCUAACUCCGUGCCAGCAGCCGCGGUAAUAC
rnacentral:rRNA from 1 species